GCCCUUGUAUUGCUUGUCUGUGGUGAUCUGCUUACUGGCAUGCUGCACCUGCAGCAGCCGCUUGACCUGUUUGAUUGGGGCCACCACCAUCUUGGAGUGGUGAUCUGAAGAGCACACCUUUGAAAUCCAGU